ACUAUUUUAUUAACUAUUUUAAAUAUGAUUUAAAAAUAAUCAUUUAGAAGCUUGUAAAAAGAUCAUCAAGGAUGCUAACGUGCAAAAAAUAGAGGAAGAGAUUAGGGAUGUAUUAAAGCAUGCUCCUAAUCGGCCAGGAGGAGUUAACUAUGAGGCGAAAAUUGUUACAAACACUCCAAGUAAAGAUGUAUUGUUGCAACAAGCCGAAGAAAGUUCCGAUUCUGAAAAUAUCUUACGCAAACCUAAACGAACGUUGUGGCAACGUUCAUUGAACGUUAAUUGUUAGCUGGGAUAGUAACCUUUGCAGCGAAUAUUAAAUCAACAUUCGUUGUUUGUUGUUUGAACAUCGAAGCGAACGUUUAAGAUCCGUAAAUCGGAGUUAACAAAAGGUAAUUCGAAGUACAAUUUUCAACGUACGUUAUUCAAACCUAAACGAACGUUAUGGUAACGUUCUUAAAAUAUUAAUUGUUAGCUGGGUAGACUCUUUAUUUAAUGCAUAAGAUUAUUAAUGAUAAUUCAGA